AGGGGGCUGGUGGCAAGGAAAGAGGUGCUGACAGGGGUGGGAGGUGGCACUGGCUGGUUGGCAGUGACCUGUGGGCUUUGCUCAGGGUUUGGAGCUGCCCUGUGCAGGAUGGGCACCCCAAGAUCCUGAUCCCAGCCAGGCUGGUACUGCCAGGUUCCAUCAGCCAGGCACUGCCAGCCAGGAUCCAUCAGCCAGGCACUGCCAGGCACAGCCAGG